rnacentral:rRNA from 1 species
AACGCUAGCUACAGGCUUAACACAUGCAAGUCGAGGGGAAGCGAUAGAGAAAGCUUGCUUUUUCUAGGCGUCGACCGGCGCACGGGUGAGUAACGCGUAUCCAACCUGCCCACCACUGGGGGAUAACCUUGCGAAAGUAAGACUAAUACCCAAUGAUAUCUCUAGAAGACAUCUGAAAGAGAUUAAAGAUUUAUCGGUGAUGGAUGGGGAUGCGUCUGAUUAGCUUGUUGGCGGGGUAACGGCCCACCAAGGCAACGAUCAGUAGGGGUUCUGAGAGGAAGGUCCCCCACAUUGGAACUGAGACACGGUCCAAACUCCUACGGGAGGCAGCAGUGAGGAAUAUUGGUCAAUGGGCGAGAGCCUGAACCAGCCAAGUAGCGUGCAGGAAGACGGCCCUAUGGGUUGUAAACUGCUUUUAUAAGGGAAUAGAGUGAGUCUCGUGAGACUUUUUGCAUGUACCUUAUGAAUAAGGACCGGCUAAUUCCGUGCCAGCAGCCGCGGUAAUACGGAAGGUCCGGGCGUUAUCCGGAUUUAUUGGGUUUAAAGGGAGCGUAGGCCGGAGAUUAAGCGUGUUGUGAAAUGUAGACGCUCAACGUCUGCACUGCAGCGCGAACUGGUUUCCUUGAGUACGCACAAAGUGGGCGGAAUUCGUGGUGUAGCGGUGAAAUGCUUAGAUAUCACGAAGAACUCCGAUUG